UCCUAACAAACUGAAGCUCUUUCUGAGACGAAGAAGCUCACCACCGAAUCUAACAACAAAAGUAGAAAGAUUUUCUUGAUCCAUUCCAAAUCCUUAGUGAGCCUGGUAAGAUCAGCCACUAAGAGGGCUUCCGUGGCAGCCAGUGCCUCGGAAUCUUUGCUCCGCUCCUUAUAUUUUUUUCAUGUCAUUUUCAACUCCUCUCAAUUUUCGUUGAAAGGCCACAUGCUUCUUCUCUAGGAAGUCUGCCUUUUUCUCUAUCUUAUUGGUUCACAGCAAGUAAACCUCAUAUUUCGCUUGCUAAUCAUGAUGAAGGACAUUGGCUAGCUAGUAAGAGGUGAGCAUCAAUUAGGCUUCAUCUUUACUUGGGAGAGUCUCGUUCGGAGUUAAAAUAUAAAAAUGUAGAUCUAGUUGCUUUAGAAACAAAGGCAGUAAGUGAGGACAAAAUGUUGGGAUCUAGGUCCUCGUCAUUGCAGACGUCAAACAAAGCCAUGGAAUUAGGAACAUGAUCAGAUUCCUCGGGUGCCUUUUUCUUUCCCUUCGCAGGGUCCAUUUUGAGAAUUGGAGAUUGGGACCUUAGUACCUAUGAACCUCCAACCUUUUGAGAUAAUGGGGUUGCUUAACUAUACCUUUGCCCUCACACAAAGUUGAACUUUUAUUCCUUUGGGAAUCCUCUGUAAAUGUCUCUUUAAAGUGAGUGGGAGCAAACUUUUGAUGUUUAGCAUUGAAGUUAAUCUUCAUCUUCGGAAUAUUAAUGUAACCUGAAAGAAAAAGAUAUGAAAGAUGCUUAGGAGAAGAAAUCACACUAUUCAUGAAUAUCGAAAGAUUAACUACUAUUCUUUGAUGAGCAAAACAUAAUCUUCCCUUACACAUCCUCACAAGCAAAAAGGUGUAUAUAAAGGGUGGUUAAAAACCCCAUGUUCAGUAGUCAUAAAGGAUGCGUGGCCAGAAGAUGAAGGAUUUAAAGAUAUUUGAGGUAUAGCAAAGCCAUAAACCCAUUCUAUCUAAUAAAAUUAGCAAAAUUUCCCUACCCCCUCCCAAUCCCAGGCGCCCAAAAGAAAACCAAGGGUUGGGGGUUACGUAGAGGUGGGUUCA
rnacentral:lncRNA from 1 species